AUAACAAACCUGAAGUUUGCAACUCCUCUUUAUUAAGAAAAGAAACCCAGCAGCAAGGGCAGUGACGAGCUUCAACCAUAAUAGCUGUGUCCCAACCCUGUCCUGGAGUUUCUUGUUCCAGGAGUGAAUGAAUAAUUUAAUCUUCAUGAGCCAUCAAUUCCAGUCCUCC
ensembl:misc_RNA